GCUAGUGUGGCUCAAUGGCAGAGCACAUCACUCGUAAUGAUGGGGUCUCUGGUU
rnacentral:tRNA from 1 species